GUCUCGCCGCCCCCUUUUUCAUCUCUGUAGUUCUAUAUUUUUAUUAUUAUUUACACUAUAAUAAUAAUAAUAAGGCUCUGCCUCGUUUUAAGUAUUGUAACUCUCGAUCACCGCUAUCCUUUCGGAUUGAUCUGAGUCCCAUAACGCAUGUCAGGGCUCUGCCAAACUAAGUUCAUUGGGAUUCUGUCUCGGGACAUCGGGACAAGGUUGAUUUAGGGGUAUUAUACUUACCACGAGUGCAUUAUAUAUUUUUAAUAGCCCAAAAGUUAUACCCAAAAUUUAUACCAGGAGAUUUUCUAGUUGAACCCUAAAGUUACCCAGUGGGUCCAUUCUCUUUUCUCACCAUUUUAUUUCCUUUUUGUGAUUUACCCAAAACUAUUAUUUUAUUUCGUAAACAACUCUUAUCAAAAGUCAUAUCUAUUAUUUUUACCCAAUAGGAAACCCUAGUUGAGACACCCAAGUAAUUCUACACAAUCCCUAAAAUUUUCAGAAUAAACAGAAUCAGGUUCAGGGCCCCUAAAACUCAAGGGGGAUAAACCCUAAUCAAUAUUUAUCUUCUAAAAUUUGUUGUCAAAAUUGAAUUCAAGCAAACAGUCGAAUCAGCUAGCCUACUCCCACACGCGACAAACCUAUGGUCAUUACGUGUCCCUUACGGACCGUAAGGGAUAAGUCUUACGGUCCGUAAGCCUGUCAAAUUUCAUGUAUAAAUAGCAGGCAUCGACACUUGCAGUCUGCUGUUCAUUCGACGAUUAAAUUCCGAUUAUACACCGAGUUAUCGUCCAAAUACUCUAAACAAACACACGCGAAUCACUAAUUAGUAUAGCAGGGUGCUGCUACGAUACAGGGUAUUAACUCGAUCGCUAUUACGAUUCAUUUUCCGACCGAUCAAUAUAUCCAAUGGAUGUUUAAGUGCCACCCACAUUAGGGUUAUACUUUGUCGUUCGUCGUUAAAUCGAUGGAUGUUUAAGUAUCGCACUUUGUCGUUCGUUGUGAGAAUUUGAUCUCGUGAGUUAUCGUAAUUGUUGUAUUAAGUUACCUACCUAGUUCGUGUGCACUAGGUUACAAGGCUAAAUCAAUAGGCUAAGUUCUGCCUGUAUAAAUCUGCAAUAUAUCAAGGCUUAUCUGUAGACUAAACUUUGGCCGUAUGAAUCUGCAUGAUUAUAAUGUAAUUACAGUAGAUUGGAAUAAGGAUUGGAUCCGGCACCAAAAGACUUCAAGAAGUGGCUUAUUUUAUUAAUUAAAUCAAAAUUAAGAAAUAUUGUUUUUAUUAAAAGCUACCUUUGUAACAAUGGAAUUUAUUCCAUCUAUUUAAAUAAAAUCCGGUGUUUCUAAACUCUGAUAUUUUUCCUAACUCACGGUCUUGAUGAAAUUUCCGCUGCAAUAUUUUUUUUGAAAAUAAUCACCGGUACCACUGGACUGCUCGCGACUUUCGAUUCCGGCCAGGAUGGGGUCGGGGGUCGUGACACGUACCAACAACGAGCCACUAAUUACAACGAACCCAUACAAGUUUCUAAAUAAAAUUCUCAAUUAUUAAUGAAAAAUACCAUCAACAAGUUUAAGUAAAAACCAACAUGUUCAGCGGAAGAAAAUAGUAAACCGAAGUUAAACCGUUUCAAAAACCAGUGUAUAAUAUCAAUAAUUCAAUCACAUGAAAUCCCUCUAGUCGACCCAUGACCACUCCAACUACUCCAGACAGCAAGUUCCAAUGCAAACAGCUAACGACCUACAAGCAUGCAAACAAGUGUGUUAGACAACGCUGAUAGUAAUCCUCAGAAGAAUUCCAGGAUCAGGAUCACGGACUAUCAUAAGGAUCCUCAUGCUAACAGUUGUUUUCCUUGGAUUUAAUGUUAUCUUGCAGGAAUGACUAGCAGGAUCCGCUCUUAGCAACGUAAACAAGGGACGCGUCUUUACAACUUUGGCAUACGCUUAAUCAGAGAUGAACGUUGUAAAGGAUAUGGAAACUCAGCAUGAUUUAAGGGCGAUAAUUUAGGCUAGAUUUACUUUUAUUCCUAAAGGGGUAAUGAGCUGAUAGUUAGUCUAUUUACCUAAAAUAGGGCCACUCACACUUGUAUAUAUAGCACUCUCCCACAUUCGGAAGACACACAACACAUUUCUCACACGCUUAGACACACGAUACUAUAGUGAUCCUUGUACUCAGCUCAUUACCAUCCGAAGUUGUAACCAUUAUUUGUUAUAUUGAAGUUUGGUGAUCGGUAGUUGCCAUCACCCGAGGUUUCUUAUGCCGGAGAUCAUUCAUUGAUCAAGGGCUUUUUCCU
rnacentral:lncRNA from 1 species